rnacentral:rRNA from 1 species
CCAAUAGCGUAUAUUAAAGUUGUUGCAGUUAAAAAGCUCGUAGUUGAAUUUUGGGUCUGGCCGGGCGGUCCGCCCUCUGGGUGAGCACUGUUCCGACGUCGGGCCUAUCCUUCUGGUGAGUCGGCAUGUCCUUUAUUGGGUGUGUCGGGGAACCAGGACCAUUACCUUGAAAAAAUUAGAGUGUUCAAAGCAGGCGUAUGCUCGGAUACAUUAGCAUGGAAUAAUGAAAUAGGACGCGUGGUGCUAUUUUGUUGGUUUCUAGAACCGCCGUAAUGAUUAAUAGGGAUAGUUGGGGGCAUUAGUAUUCAAUUGUCAGAGGUGAAAUUCUUGGAUUUAUUGAAGACUAACUUCUGCGAAAGCAUUUGCCAAGGAUGUUUUCAUUAAUCAAGAACGAAAGUUAGGGGAUCGAAGAUGAUCAGAUACCGUCGUAGUCUUAACCAUAAACUAUGCCGACUAGGAAUCGGGCGAUGUUAUUCUCAUGACUCGCCCGGCGCCUUAUG